UAUCUACAGUAGCUUCAGCGAAGCACAGAGGAACGCCUGCCAGGCUGCCAACCAGGCUGAACACCGUCACCACUGCUCGCCGGCACAGCUGCCGCAGUGUAGAAGAAUGCUCUGAAACACAGGGAGAAAAGGUGAAGAGUUCCAGUUGAGGGUUUGAAGAUGAUGUGUCUACUGCUGGCUGCCACUGGUGGUGAAGAGACGCCCAAAGGAUUAAUUAAUAGGUGGCCUGAGUAAGAGUACCUACCGAAGGGUUCCCGAAUGCAGCCCAACGAAGCCUGAUGAUGAUGAGUCCUUAACGAAGUUGCUUUUCUCAACAACUAUGAUAUUUCCGUUAACAUACUAAUGUUAUGAAAUUUUAUGUAAAAUAAAUAUUUUCUUCGAAGA